AGCUGUGGAAGUUCAGCUCUCAAGAAGCUCACAUCUAGGGUGCGGAGUUAGAGAAAUCAGACCGGCACAUGAUACAGAAGGGACUAGGUGCUAUGGAGAGACGUGAGCUGGGGAGGGGAUAGCCUGUGUUGGGGUGGAGGCUGCUGCUUUAGAGAGAUGAGGGAAGGCCACUGGAAUCUGAUGCUGAGCAGAGAUCAGGGAUUUUAUAUAAGGGAAGUGAGGGAGUGAGUCGUGGCCACCUGAGGAGAGCAUUCCAGGAUAAGGAAACAGCAGGUGCAAAGGCACUGCUGCAGGGAGGUGCUUGGUAUAUCCAGGGAGUGUGGAGAAGUCCCGUGUGGUGGCUGCAGAGGGAGCAGGGGGAGGAUGGUGGGAGGUGAGAAUGGAGACCUCUGAGGUAGGUCCUCGAGAGCCUUAGAGGCCACGCGAAUUGCAUGGGACCCACUGGAGGGAGCCAUUCCCAGAGCCAUGACAGGUUGGGACCUGCCUGCAAAGGACCACAUUCUGGCCGUGGGGAAGGGCAGAAGCAGGAGACCAAUUUGGAGGCUGGGACCUGGGGCCUGGGGCCUAGGACAGGCAUGGUGAGCAGUGGUCAGUUUCUGAAUCCAUUCUCAGGGUAGACACAAUAGGACUGGUGAUUGAUUGAAUAUGAGAUGUGAGACAAAGACAAAUGCCAAGGACGGCUCCAAGGGUUUUUCCUGAACAGCUGCCAGGAUGAAGUUGGCAUUUAUUUAGGUGGAGGAAGAAAGGAAGGAGCAGGUUUGGGAGCUGGAGAUAGAGAUUCGUUUUUGAAAGUGUUAAUUUGAGAUGUUCAAUUAGACACAGAGUGGAGAUGCCAAAUAGACAAUUAUACAGGAGUCUGGUGCUGAGUGUUGAGGUCUGGGAUGGAGACAUCACCCUGAGGGUCCUUGGCAUUUAAAUGCUGUUUAAAACCAGGAGGCUAGAUGAGCUCACCAAGGGAGAGGGAAGGGAUAGAAGAGGGAGAGGGUCUGAGGACUCAGCCCUGGAGCAUAGAUAAUUAACAGGCAGAUGGGGAGAAACUGGGAGAGGGGACUGAGAAGGAACAGCAGGCAAGAGAAAGAGGGCUAAGGGAGAGCCAUGACCUACAAUCAGGUCAAGAAGCAUUUCUACAGGAGAGAUUUAUGCUGCCGAUCUUCCAAUAGAUCAAGUAGCGUGGAGACCACUGAGACCCAGCCACUGGAGACCAUUAGCCUAGGGAGGUCAUUGGUGUCCUUGCCAAGCCCUGUUUUGGUUCUGGGUCCAGGAGACAGAGUGUAGUCAGAGGAGAGGAAUCACAGACAGCCCAGUGCAGACAACAGGCAACUCUUUCAAGGAGUCAUCUUAUAAAGACUGAAGCUGAGAGGCUUUUUUCCCAGUCAUCUUGACCACAAGAUCAGUUCUCUCCGUGAACAUAAAGACAAAAUCGCUGUGACACCAACAGACAGAUUUUUUAACAAGUGGAAUCCAUGUCUCAUGUAAACAAUGUGCUACUGCCUGCCAUUGAGUUCUCUUCCCUCGUUUUCCUUUUUGAAGACUUAACCCCUUUCCCAAAGGGACAUGUGCUCAGGUUUCUUGACUCCACAGCAAUCCCUUCUGUUGUGUAAGGCAAACUGAUCACCUUUCACAACGAGACAAGAAGUGAUUUAAAUCAGAUGGUGACCCAAUGACAAUGUCUGUGCUGUGUCCUAUGGAGAAAACCAAAGCUGAAAUCCAGUAACAGGUGAUAGGAAGAUGUGGAGAUAGAAACUGACCUGAAUUCUGAAAAACAACAAGAGAAAAGGAAGUCUGAGAACAAGCUGGUGUUCUUCCAAAACCUGUUCAUUGUGUGAAUUCCUAGAAGAUAGCGUGACACCGAGAAACAGGCUGGAGUGACACACCCAAACAAUUAUGCUACCUGGAUCUGCCAAGGCAGGAGGACAAACUCAGCAGCCUGGAGAAUGGAGGACACAGUCCAGAGUUGCAUAUCACCUGCUGUCAAUGCCUUGACCUUCAAUGAUGGAUACUGAAGCCUUUUAUAGAAAUACAGAAAAACAGCUUUCCCCAGCGUUUUCUCCCCUACCUUCUCUCCUGAACAGUACUGACGUGGCUGCUUGGUAGAAGUUUACCACUAGGGUCCUAUGGAGUAGACAUACAGGACCUUCCGAACUGCUGUGGGGGAAGAAGAGAAGGUUAGUUUUGGGAAUUGUUUAGUAGUGGGGAAGAUCAGGGAUGGACAGAGAAGGGAUGUAGAUGUUAAAUCUCUCUGAGAUGAAAUUUAACUCAUCUCAUUGUUGAAGUGUUGAGUGAUGUAACGUUUCCAGGUUUCCUCUAACAUUUACCGAACACGCAUUAUGGCAUCAUGGUUUAGGGGAUCUAGGCUUUGCAGAUGUUACUCCAUUAUUUCUCUAAACAACCAUCGAGCCUGUACUUUUUUUUUUUUUUUUUUUCCGAGACAGAGUCUCGCUCUGUCACCCAGGCUGGAGUGCAGUGGUGCAAUCUCAGCUCACUGCAACCUCCGCCUCCCGGGUUCAAGUAAUUCUUCUGCCUCAGCUUCUUGAGUAGCUGGGCAUGCACCACCACUCUUGGCUAAUUUUUGUAGUUUUAGUAGAGACAGGGUUUCACCAUAUUGGGCAGACUGGUCUUGAACUCUUGACCUCAAGUGAUUCAUCUGCCUUAGCCUCUGAAAGUGCUGGGAUUACAGGGUUGAGCCACCAUGCCCAGCCAGAGAUUGUAUCGUUAUUUCCAUUUUUCAAACAAGGAAACCAAGGCUUAGAGAAGUUAAAUGACAUGCCUGAGGUUGCAUAAUAUGGGUGGACAAGAGUUACAGCCAAGUCUCUCAUUCUGUUUGCUGUUGCCUCUUAAAUUCUCCAAUUUGAUCUGCUUUUCUCUGUUAAAUAACAAAUCCCUAUCUCUCUUUCCAGGAAAUGUUCUUCAGUUGCCUGUAAACAUUUAUUUUGAGACUAACACUGCAGUUUUUCCUGCAAUGUCCCAUUUGAUAACAUCAAUAGACUCCAAUGAAGAGAGAACCCUUUUUAAUCAGUUAAAUCUUCAUAUGUAGAGUAGGCAAUCAAGGCUAAGUCAGAGUGAGAGCUUUCUGACACUCACCAUGCGCGUUUUAUUGAAACACUAACAGGAGAGAAUCAUGAUAUGAUUACCUUUAAAUGAGAUUAUUAAGUUUAUGUUUCUUCAAAAUGUGUAGUAGCUUAUAGAUGGGGCGUUAAGUGGUUUCUAAUAUUUUCCUAAGAUCUGAGAUAAAAUACUUCUUUCUAACGUUGUCUUUCAUUAUCUGUUCAUCUGUAGCUGAGUAACACAGAGAGAUUCUUCUCCAGGUCUUGCCUCUGAGUGACAGUCUUAAAGGCAUCAGUUGUGGUAGUGGGGGCCAGCCAUGUUCAGUCACUUAGGCCUUUCCUUCGGUGUGAAAAUAUCUGGCUGGACCCACAGGAAAUGGUUUGAGAGACUAAAGCAAAUGGCUUCUGUUUCUUACAUCGUUUAAGGAGUCCAUGCCCAGAUGGCUAAGACAGAGAGGACUGAAGAGGAAGGGUGUCAAGGAUGGUACAGCUCCCAGUUACAGAUAUGGUGGCUUCCACGGAGAUCAGGCAGAGUUCUGAGCUUUUGGAAACUACCUGAAAAUCUUCCACUAGCUCUCUUUACAUGCCUUGGUGACAGCAAGUUCCUGACAUUUUUUUUUUUUUUUUUAGAUGGUGUCUCAGUCUGUCACCCAGGCUGGAGUGCAGCGGUGUGAUCUCGGCUCACUGCAACCUCUGCCUCCCAGGUUCAAGUGAUUCUCAUGUCUCAGCCUCCCAAGUAGCUGGGAUUGCAGCCACCUGUCACCACGCCUAGCUAAUUUCUAUUGUAUUUUUAGUAGAGACGGGGUUUCAUCAUGUUGGCCAGACUGGUCUCGAACUCAUGACCUCAAGUGAUCCACCUGCCUCAGUCUCUCAAAGUGCUGGAAUUACAGGCGUGAGCCACCAUGCCUGGCCCUGCUUGAUCAUUUUUGAAAAGCAGAAAUCCAGGAACAGACCCGAGGGAGUUACAAGGUGUAGAAUGUUGAAGGUAUUUCUCAAAAUGCUAUUCCUCUUCUCAAUACCAGUUCAGCAUUCUCCUCCAGAGAUCUGGUGUCUCACACUGCCUUUUGUGCUGUAAAAGCCAAGCCAAAUGAGAGGCAUUUAAAUUAUUUCUGUUGCCUAGGAAAGAGAAAUAUUAUCCACAGUAACAAAAUCAUCAAAUUUUAUUAUGCACAAGUUAGUGCUAUAUAUUUAGGAGUUUUGCUUUAGAGGAUAUAAUUUAGAAAAAUGGGACAGCUUUUCAUUGGCUUGGAAGUUUCUAUUGUCAAAACAUAUUACCAGGAAAGUACAAUACAUUGUAAAAUUAUAAGGAACUGCAAUUCAGUCCUAUUUUGACUUUAUUUAUAAAAAAAACAAAUUAAUAGCAAAUGAAUAAAACUUUUAAACCAUUAUCCGGGUAAUAAUACUAAACAAAACAACUAAUAAAACAGCCGCAUUCAAACAGCUGUUUAAGGAAGCCCAAUGAUAUUUCAUCCAUUGUCAAACUUGGCAUUUGAGCAGAAUAAAGACCAAAGUAAAUAUUUAUUGAUUCAUGUGAGAAUACUGAAAAUUUCUCUUUUAUAAGUAGAAUAAGCAAAUAAACCAUGAUUUAUAAAAACCCUGGCUAACUAAAAUCAGCUAAUGGGUCUAUUCAAAAAAUUCUUAUCAUGUAAACUGUGAACUGACAAUUAUAAUUGAAAAUUACCAGUUUCUCUAUGAAUUUAAUAUACAUAUAGUUAACCACCUGCUUGACUGUUAUACAGAGCCAUUUAAACGUGCAAAUGGACGUACAAAUGUUUGAAGUCUUUUGAACCAAACACAUUAAUUGCCAGUCUGUGUUAAUGGAAACACACAGAAUGGAUGCCUGCCUCUCUCUGUAAUAAAUAUAAAAAUUCCCUGGGCUUCCGAGUCUCCAUACUAAGCACACAUGGAGGCUUUUUAUAGGAAAAGCUCAUUUAGAGAUUGAACCCCUCAACCCCAACCAAAUAGGUAAUAAGGAGACAGGAAACAUUGUAUUGGCCAGAUUGACUACAAGCAGACUGCAUUCCUCACACUGUUCUGUCCAAGUGGGAGUCCGCAGCCCAGAUGGCUACAGAAUUGGCAGUGAGAAGUGAGGCAAAGUUCAAAGCAAGCCCAGGGGCACAUUUAGUGCCCAGUUUGCUCCCUGUUGAUACCUGGGCAGGUGACCUUGUGCUUUUCCUUAAUGGCCUGGGGACCCCCAUUAUGACUUCCCCUGGACCUGUCCUCACCAUGCAGUGAUCCACAGCUAAGAUGCUCUUCCUCCUUAGCAAGAUAUAUCAGCCCCCUGUCCUCUGGCCCGCAGGCCCUGGGUGUUUCAAAUAGAAACACAAGGAUGGCCUGGGGUGCUCCUCUGCCCAGCCCCCCACUCAGCAGGGGCCACUCAGCAGGGGCCAUCAGCUGUCCGAGCUAGGGGCCUCUCUGAGGGCAGGUGGUAGGUCCCUCCUGCAGUCACUUUUCCAUGACUCUCUGGCCAUUGGGGUGUAGAUGGAGGGGGCCCCAGCUUGACUCUGAGCCAGGGCUCAGUGAUGUAUGUUGAUGCCUGGAAAACAGCUGGGGGCCUGUGGGGUCUCAGAAGACCCAUCCUAAGGUAAGAGGAUGCCAGGGAAGCUAAGCUUGGCUCAAUUCCAGAGCUUUAGUGUUCAGAAGGGAGGUGAGACUCUGGAUCACCUGAUUUUUGUCAGCAGCCCAGUCCUAAGAUUGUACAUCUGAGUCUUACCCAGAGGAAAAUCUGCAAAGGAAAAGGUGAAAACAGCAGUUUCUCUAAAAACAAGGUAAUAGGGUGGGGCACAGGAAGCUGUUUUUUUGUGGGGAGCCUCUACAAAACAAAAUAUAAAAUCGACCGGGUGCUGUGGCUCACUCCUGUAACCCCAACGCUUUGGGAGGCUGAGGCCAGUGGAUCACUUGAGGCCAGGAGUUCAAAACCAGCCUGGCCAACAUGGUGUAACCCUGUCUGUACUAAAAAAAAAAAAAAAAAAAAAAAAAUCAGCCAGGCGUGCUGGUGCAUGCCUGUAAUCCCAGCUACUCAGGGAGGCUGAGGCAUGAGAAUUGCUUGAACCCGGGAGGCAAAGGUUGCAGUGAGUCAAGAUCACACCAUUGCACUUCAGCCUGGGCGACAGAGAGAGACUCUGUCUUAAAAAAUAAAAAUAAAACAAAAUAUAAAAUGAAAAAAAUCAUUCUUCUUCACUUUCCCCAAAUCAAUCCUAGCCUGGGAUUGUGAAGACUUCAGUGCAUUAGAGGUGAUGCUAAGGAGUAGCGGAGAUUGACUUAUUCCUGGAGACUUUUAGGAAAUUCUUGGGAGUAGAAGAUGGACUUGGCGAGAAGCUGAGAUUUUUCAAGAUCAAGUUGGGGUAAGAAUUAGCAACAUGGGGAUCUUGUUUUUAAUGAACCCAAUUCACCUCCACAGGCUGACGAUGCCUGGGAACACCCAGACAAGGCGAAGCAUGAGUUCAGUAUUACCUGUCAGAUGUGUUUCUCACCUCCCUGUCGGAUGUGUUUCUCGCCUCUGCUGCUGUCUUUCACCUCUGCUUUGCCUGGUUCCAUCAGUGCCACACCCAGCCCGGCCUUCAGCUUUACUCUGCAGGGUUGUUUCUGAAUGAGCUUUAGGUAUUAUCAAAAAUAUUAUCCUUUAACCUCAAAGGAUAAAGACUCUUCCCUAGUGAAGAUAUAAGAAGACGAAGCCACAGGUUCUGAGGGCCAUUUCGAGAGUGCUCUGGGCAUCCUUUGAGCACAUUCGCGUCACCUUCCUUUGCAGUUACUCCUCAUAUGAUGAGCAUACCACCCGGUCCUGGGAUUAGACAGGGAGAAGGGCCCGCUUUCACAGGCCCCAGGCCACUGUUGACAGAGCCGCAGGAAGAAGAAAGAGACCCAGGUCUCUUGGGAAAUCAGGUCCUCAUUUAUUUGUAGGCGAGAGAGAUAGAGAGAGAGAGAGAGAGAGCAGAAAAUCAAAGACAGCCUGAGAAACAUGUCUGUAGCCUCUGACCAUGGACACUUUUCCACAGAAUACAAGUCCUGAAAAAAAUGGUGUGCAAAUCAUCUGUGGUCUGGUGACCUCUAAUCCAGAGCCAGGCCUUGGUCCCUGGCAGCCCCUGUGGGCAGGCCCAGGGCAGGCUGGGCCUCCGCACAGAAUGGGGAAGGAGAGGGCACUAGAACUGGGGGAGAUGGGAACUGAACCAGCUGUACUGCUGGUCUCUGUGGGGGAUGCCAUCCAAGUGCCAAUGGCCAAAGGGGCCUGAGGUUUCUGGCCCCAUCCCAAUGUCCUUGUUCGUUUCUGGGAAGACACUCUGCAUGGGGACUGUUUAGUGACAGCAGGAGGAAUUUAGUGCUAGAAGGCAGCAGGUGAGGGAAGCUUCUUGGAGGACGACAGCUGGUGUCUGUGGAUGUGGGGAGCUGGGUUGCCCCAGUAGAAAGAACGAGGGGAAGGUGGUCAACCAAACCCCUUUACCUGGAAUUUAGGGGUCCUGGGAUGGGGGCUUUCAAUGCUAAACCUGGGGAAACCCUGGGCAAACCAGGACAAGCUGGUCCUCUGGGGAAGGCCAAGGAAUAGCUGUGGAGGGCAUCAGGGCCCUGGCUGGGCAAGAAGAGAGGUGCCAACAUCAGCAUUGUUUAGGUCUUAAGUCAUAAAGCUCCUUCACAAAAAUCAGAUGCAAAGAAAACCCCAAUCCUCCCUCCUUUAACACACACGCACACAUACGGGCACACAAACCUACAAAAAAGACAAUUUCCUCUUAGUGAGCUUAUCUAAUGUAUACAGCCCUCAUUUCUGCUGAUAGCAGCCAUUUCUGAUUUAUUCCUUGCUGUAAGAAAUUUCUUAUACCUUCCUUCCCCUGGGGUUCCUGGUGUUGGAAUUGAAGCUUUGGGUCUCCACUAAGUGGGUUGAUGUGGAAAGGGCUUCUUCCCAGUACAGGCCCAGUCUUCUGUGUGGGUCAUCCAGCCCAGGGGAGGCAAUGGGUGAGCAAGGCAAAUGCUCAAGUGUCCAGGCUUAGACCAGACUUGGGGCAAGAUGACACAUUCCAGCUCUCUCCAGCAGCUGCCAUGGAGUCUGUGAAGGUACUGUUUAUCUUGGAGCCAGUCAGGCAUUGCUAAAGUUCAAAGACCCAGUGUCCCUGGCUGGCCAAGGCUAGAGAAAGGAGGUUAACAUGUGGGUUUCCUGGCUUCCACCAAUGUAUUUCUCCACAGGAGACUUCCCUGUUGUGUUCAGUAGCAAGUCUGAGACCAUUAGAAGUCUCCCUAUUCAACGUAGAUACUGUUUUAAACAUCUUCCCAUUAGCAAAGGGAAUUAUUUUUGUUUUGUUCUUAGGAGGAUAAUUCUGGUUGUCUUAAAACGGCUUUACGUAAAAUGAGAUUAAUUUUCUUAAAAGCACCGCCUUUAUCUGAAGUAAUGCUGCCACUCUCAGAGGAACAGCUGUUGGUGUUUGCAGCCAUACAUGUUUGAGAUAAGUUAUCUUUUGACAUCAUGACCAAGCUUUUUUGUUAUGUCAGAUGAGAUAAAAGUAAGUAUUUGCUGCUAAAGUUUCCCCUGAUAAGCAGUAUUCCACUUUUAUAUAAGAGGGCCAGAUGGUUGAAUUAAGGAUGAAAUAACACAUACAGAAAUUUGCUUUUAAAUCCACCUCUGUACACAGAGGUUCUCUUAAGAGAGGUUUACCAGGAAUCUUUGGCUUUGUCCUCUCCUAAUGAUACAGAAGCUAGAAAGAAAUUAUUUAGGCAGUUAGUGAGGGUAAGAGAGUCUUUGUCAAGGUUUUGUUUUUAAGAAAAAGCAGCCCCCAAAUAAUGUCUUUUCUAACAAAGAGCAGCCUGAAAAAUCAAGCUGCUGACAUAGAAAAGCAAGCUAGGAGCUUGCAUGGGUGAAUGCUGGCAGCUGUGCCAAUGGGAAAAGGCUACCUGGGGGCCAGGCAUGUUCAACAUGGAGGCUCCAUCAUCCCUUUUCUUUGUCAACCACAUGUACAGUAAAGAAGCAGGUAACAUGGUGCUGGCCAGGUAGAGAAUCCAGCUGCAUAAUAGAAGAUUAUGGUGGGCCGGCCAUCUUCUUGCACUAUGCAAAUGACACACCUGGUCUGACCAAUCUCUCAUACCCUAUGUAAAUCAGACACCGCCUCCUCAAGCUCCUGUAUAAAAUCCCGUGCAUUUCACCACGGAACCGGAAGACCUGCCCGUUUCUCUUUCUUUCACCUAUUAAAUCUCUGCUCUUAACCUCACUCCUUGUGUAUCUGUGUCCUUGAUUUCCUUGGCGUGAGGCAACAAACCUCAGGUAUUAUCCCAGAUGAACGAUGCCACUUCACUAAGGAAGAUAAAGGAAACUAGAGACUAAGCUCAAUAUCACACUCCUCCCAUGUGUAUGCAUACUUACAUAUACUUCUUUGUUUUAGUUUACGCAGGAGAAAGAAGUUAGGAAAGUGUUUAGGUUCCUAAACUGUUUUUCCAUAACCUGAGCUUUGUCGGAAGUAUUAGAACAGAUCUGUAGCAAAACUCAGAAACAGUGAACCCUCAGUGCAGUUUCUCAGAUGUGCUCACAUGUGAGCCUAGAUCCAUCUUAUACCUUGCUAUUCCAGUUUAAUAGUAGGGUAUCGAAUCUGGCUUCCUGUGCUGCAGUGAUUUAGAAGAUGUAUGAAAUAGGGAAUUGUUUUGUUGGACUCUUCCUUAUUCCUUAUCUGUUUACCACCCACCAAUACAGCAACUACUAAAAAUAAAGCUAGAGCUCCGUGUUCUUCUAGUAGUGAGAUGACUCAGUGUUGAUAAUGUGCCCUCUCUUGAUUCCCAGGUGUAUAAACAAUGACAUUUUUGAUGAGUUUUCUUGCCCAAGGGGUGAAAUCUCCAGCCAAUAAACAGAGCAUCUGUGAGUGCAUGUCAGCGUGCACAUGCGUGCAUGCCUUGUGUUUCCGUGUGUGUGCAUUUGUGUGCUGUGUUUUGGGUGCAGCACACCAACAUGGCACAUAUAUACAUAUGUAACAAACCUGCACGUUGUGCACAUGUACCCUAGAAUUUAAAGUAUAAUUAAAAAAAAAGAAGCUAGUUAACUGUAGACAAUAAAUCUUUAGAUGUUACUGAAUCAACUCAAUCAACCAGUUCCAGCAAGUCCAAAUAUUUGCAGUGGUAGCAAAUAUGAAUAAGCGAUCACAUAUAGAACACUUGCCGUGUGGACAAUCAGAUGGAUUCUGUCAUCUAAAAUUUAAAAAGCAAAAUAAAAAAAUACCACGGAAACCGUCAUGUUAUGGGAAAGUGACUGCAUAUUUGUAAAGAACACAGUCAAUACUAGAUGUGUGAGCUGUAAGUAAUGUAAUCAUUAUUAUUUUGGUCUGGAACAUUUUAUGUCCUUUAGUCAUUAAAAUAAGGACCUAUGAGGCUGGGGCAGCAUGGAGAAAUGACUAUUAUACCAUGCAGUGACUUUUUUUAAAAAAGAAAAAACAUAAACUUAGGGCAUCUAUUUCCCCCCCAUUUUCUCAUUUAAUUACAAUUCCCUGAUACCUUUCUACUAGACUCGUACUGUUUGGGGGCAAACUAGUAAGAAGCUUGGGGCAAAAGACUUCUCUUCCAAUAAAUUCCUGUGGAAGUAGGAACCUAUUAUCUGUUUGUUCGUUUUGUAACGGAGCUUACAUUCUUACCUGAAAGAGACACAGCUCUGGAGGUAAAGGGUGUGGAGGAGAGGAAGAAAUAACAGUGUGUGUGCACAUGCGUGUGUGUGCACGUAUGUGGCAGGUGUUUGCAAACACGAGGGAGGCACCUAUGCUUCCCUUGUUUCCAGUGGGAGAAGCUGCCUAAAGCGUGUCUCUUCCUGUUCAGGAAGACGUCUUGGUUCUCUGAAAAUUUGUCAGGGAUGGUGAAAUCUCCAUCAAUGAACACAGAAAGCUCCACCAAAGAGACAGUUCAUGGCGAAUUCAGUUAUAGUGACAUUCUAGAAGUUGACACUGGUCAACCCUUUCUAUCCAUCUCCACCCCAUCUCGGUGUCUUUCUUUUGCUGCUGCUGCUCAUCACCAACAAACUCAUGUCUGGUUUUUGGGAAAUAUUAGUGUGUAAUGGCUUCUAUAAAAUAAGAGCUCUCCUUUCUAGAAAAAUUUAAUAGUCUUAGAAAAUAAGCCCAUGUUUUAUAGUAUUGUUUCAUUAGGAAUAAACACAUAUAUUGUAGUUAAAAAUUUUCUCAGCUUCCGAGUGGUCUUUCCAUUUCAUCAGAUAUUAAGAAGUGGGAGUAUGAACGAAGGAAUUAAAGAAGAAACAGAAAAGAAGAGAAAAAAAUCACAAAAUUUAAUACUCAAACACACCAGGCAACUGUAGUCUCUUUCCUGGAUAAUUUAUGUUAAAAUUCAUCAGACUCAGAAGCCGAUAUGAUAAAUAGCCCAAUAUAGUUUCUCCUUGUUGUCUAAUUUCAUCACAGGUCUAUCUGGCUCAUUUAUAAUGCAAUCUCUUUCUAUUUAAAGGCAAAAUACUUCAAGUAUUUGACAAGCUAAACAUUAGCCCUAAAAAUUUGUAUCAAUCUGCAUUUACAUAUUUUGUACAUAAAAAGUUCUCAAACUCAAAAUCAAAAUAUUUACAAAGGUAUCAUGUGCUUAUCGAUGUCACACAUUUUCUUUGCAAGGUGCAUAAUGAAAAUUUCAGAAGUAGUCGAUUCUGUUUCUUUUAAAAUGUCUCCAUUAAAAUACAAAUAAACAAACUAUUGAUGCAUGGCGCAAUUUGCAUGGAUCUUAAGAGAUGUUCUGCUGAGUAAAAAACUGCCAGUCUCAAAAGGUACAUACUGAAUGAUUCCAUUUUUCUAGCAUUCUCAAAAUGACAAAAUUACUGAGAUGAAAAACGGGUGGGAAGGCUGGGGUGAGGGAAGGAAAUGGAGAGGAGGAUGGGGUGACUAUAAAGGGACAACCUAAGGGAGUUUCUUUGCGGUGAUGGAGCAGUUCUGUGUCUUGGUGGUGGUGACGAUACGCCUUUCUACAGGAGGUAAAAUGUCAUGGAGCUAUACACAAAAACAUACACAAGAAAAAUGACUGCAUGCAAAGGCUGGCAAAAUCCAAGUAAGGUCUAAGCUCUAGCUAAAUUGUAUUCUCAAUGUCCUGGUUUUGCUAAUGUACUGUAGUUAUUGCAGAAGACCAGGUGAUGAGUACACAAGACUUCCUUGUACUAUUAUUGUAACUUCUUGAGAGUCUGUAAUUAUUUCAUUAUAUAAAUGUAGAAACAUAAAUCUCUGUUGAAGAAAAGAUUCUGGCAACUAAACACACUUGGAAGCAAUUUAGUCAAAGACUGGUGUCCUUUCGGGAGGCAGCGCUCUUAAGUGUAAACACUGAAGACUCUUGAUUUAGCCUAUGCUUAGUAUCCAGGUAACCAGGUCUGCAACUCUUAGGCUGUGUAACUGAAAACAAUUAGUUGUUCCCAUUACUUGUAUGAAGAUUAUAGAAUCAGGAAAUUUCAGAGCAAGCAGGGACCACGCUCUCAGGUUACAACUCUCUGUUUUGGCAUCCUGAUUUGUAAUGUGAGGGCUUUGUCCUAGUUUCUUUGCAGUGUCUUGCCUAGUUCUAAAUUUCAUACUACACAUAAACUACAGAAAUUGUAAUGGUAAUCAAAAAUUUUUCCUCAGUAUCGCAUAAGACAGAUAUUUCAACUUACGUUGAUUAUAAAUGUGGAUACAGAAAGAACCUAUUUAUUAUGUAACACCAUCUACUAGAAAUAACUGAAGAGCAAACCAACUGGACUAAUUCUUACUCCUUAGUUCAGGUGGUAGUUUUCCAGGCAGAGGGUCUGGGCGGUUUCCUUGAAAUGACAUACCAUCACAUCCUCCUUGUAUAAAGUAUAGUGCUCAUAUCUACUGGAGUGUUUGCGUAGAAAGGGGUGGCAUACUUAGGUCAGUGUGUCCCAGGAAGAGUCCCUUGACUACCCAUGAGACCUGCUAAAUCGAUCCUGGGGAGAUUCUGGACAAUCACACACUCAAACUCAGGAGGCUUUAAAGAGUAAUCCUUAUCAUUUGGGAAUAAAUGAUGAUAUGCUUUUUUAACCAAUAUAGCUUUAGUUUCCUCACUUGUCUCAGCUACUUUUCUUCAUGGAAUGCUAACACUGGACUACCUUGG
rnacentral:lncRNA from 1 species